GGGACACUAACGUAUCAUACCCGAUAUCGAUAAAACUGGAAUGAAGCUGAAAUUAAUUCACGAGAAAAUAUCCUGGAUAUGUUCAACACGUACGCGGCCAUUUUGUCUUCACAUGGGAUGUAAGACUAUAAUUGUACCAUCAAACUCUAUGAUUGUUGCAUCCCAAAACAUACCACCAUGGAACAUGACUUGGCUUGUUGUGCAACCUGAAACAACCUUCGUUUCAGGUUGUUUCAUAGGAACAACCUGAAAAUAAAUUACCAAACACUGCUGCUCUGCAGUUUGACCCAAAGCUGACUGCCGAGGACAACAGUAAAACUGGCUUCGUUAUGCUCCAGAACAGGAGGAAGGCAUCAAGGAUCUAAAGUGACACCAACCAGAGUCAAACUUGGAUUACCACAACUCAUACUGUUUCCCUGGUUCAUAGAGUACCAGGCUUAACAUCAUGGAUGCUGUUCUUCCAUGGACAAUAGAAUUUUGUUCUGUCAGCCAAGAAGGAGUCAAAUAUGUUUACAUUUCUUACCUGUUUUUCUAAAUAAAUUGCAAUAUUAAUGCCAUGUUGUAAAAUCUAAGUUUGUGUACACACCUUUUUGGAAAUAUGGUAAUGUAAGAUAAUUUUGAACAAGAUAAUACCCAUUAUCUGCCAACACAAUUGUGUGUUUAACACCAGUGAAGAAACUUUUAAUGGUAUGUUAUGAUGUAGCCCUAUCAGACCAAAAAAUGUACAUGGAUCAAUAUUCAUUCUUUAACUUUUAUUCAAUACAAAAUCAACACAAACGUGCAUGUAGAUCCAAAUUCAGAUGAUGGUUGAAUCAACAUUGACUAGUUUGAUCAGUUGAUCAGUUAUGGUUGAAACCCUAAUGUUGAUUCAACAUGUAAGUCAGGCUUCAACGUGAAUUCAAUGUUUCUGUCUGACUAUAUUUCAACAUUGAUUCACUCAUACUUUGCUAUCUGGAAUAUGUAUUCUUGAUGUCUGUCCAUUUAGUGCAGAAUUAGCUUCAGAUUCCUUAUCUGACUAUUAUUAUCAACUAUUAUUUAUUGCUUUUUGUGGUUGGUUUUCUAUAUCUAUACCAAUUACAACGUAAACCAUUAGAAGACAAGAUGAUUAUGUGUGGGAGAAUUUAAGCUGGAACUGAAUUGGAAACGGGCUUCUGCCCUCUAACACUGUGACAGUGGAGUGAUUUAAAGAGCAGUUGUGAAAUAAAAUAAAGUUCCUUAAAACAUGUCA